rnacentral:lncRNA from 10 species
CCCGCCCGUUCCUCUCUCUCCACACCUGCCCGCAAGCUGAAGGAGCCAGCUCCAGUCUCAGCCAGCCCAGGAAGCGGCUCCCACAGUGCAGCGGCGGGCUGAAGCGCUCCUCAAGUGCCGCCAAAGUGGGAGCCCAGGCAGAGGAGGCGCCGAGAGCGGGCGAGGGCCGCAAGGGCUGCCAGCAUGCUGUCAUCUCUCAAGAGCUCCCUCAGAGGCCUAUGUAAGGUACCAUCUCAGCCACAGUAGGAUAGAGCAACAAGCAGGCUUUUGGAGUGCCUGAGUUCAGACCCAUUCUCCUGGAUAGCAUUUCUGGACCUGCCUUGGGCCAGAGAGGACUGCACAGCCAUGAAGAUGAGUUCCAGGCCUGGCAGCUUUUAGCACAAGAUGACAGAAGAGACCUUGGACUUCAAUUGAACAUCAGCAGUCAUCUGGCAAAACUUCCAUGGACCAGCGCUGGUGGUGGACAUAGGGAUAAGCUCCUCUGCUUGUGGAAAGAGGAAGAAAGAGCAGGAAGGACUCAUAUUGUGGUAUGAAUAUCAGCUUAUCCACAGUAAAAUAGAACAUGUAAAUUGCUAACUAACGUUUCUGACUCUAAUCCCUGACUCCCAGACAGCAUCUCUGGACGUGCUUGGGGCCUGGGGGAACUCAUGGCCUUAUAGGAAAGGGUUUUAGGCAAGACCCAGUACUGUGCUGGCUUUAAGUCUGACCCAGUGCAGUCUCAGUGAUAAUGGCCACAGGGGUCCUUUCACCAGAACACCCCCAGCUCCAGGUGUCUCAGCACAGAGUGAGACAGAGAGAGAGACAGUUUGUUUGUUUGGAAGAAAAUAAGAGAAAAUAACUAGACUCCUUCCAAUAAUCCAGAUAAUUCUUCCAGCAUUUACCCAAGACCACCAAGGCAGUAUCUCCAUGAGUCUGCAAAAACCACGGCAUUAUUGGUACUCAAAGGGCCUAACUAAGCCCCUUCAAAUACCAGGAAAGCCUUCCCGAGAAGAACAGGCACAAACAAGCCCAGAAUGUGAAAACUACAAUAAAUAUCUCACUCUUCAAUGCCUUGACACCAGUGAAAAUCAAGAAGCAUCAACACCAUCCAGGAAAACAUGACCUCACCAAAUGAAUACAAUAAAGCACCAGGAACUAGUUCUGGAGAAAUAGAGGUAUAUGACCUUUCAGACAGAGAAUUCAAAAUAGCUCUAUUGUGGAAAUUCAAAUGAAUUCAAGACAACAUAGAGAAACAAGAUCAGAAUUCUAUUAGAUAAAUUUAACAAAGAAAUUGAAAUAAGUAAAAGAGUCUAGCAGAAAAAUCUAGAGUUAAAAAUGCAACUGACACAAUGAAGAAUGCAUCAGAGUUUAUUAAUUUUAGAAUUGAUUAAGCAGAAGAAAGAAUUAGUGAGCUUAAAGACAGGCUAUUUGAAAAUACAUACACAGAGGAGAUUAAAGAAAAGAGGAAAAAAAUAAAGCACACCUACAAGAUCUAGAAAAAAUAGCCUCAAAAGGGUGAAUCUAAGAUUUGUUGGCUUAGAGAAAGAGGUUCGAGUACAGUAGAAAGUUUACUGAAAGGGACAAUAUCAGAGGACUUCCCAAACCUAGAGAAAGAUAUCAACAUUCAAAAACAAAAAGGUUAUAGAUCACAAAGCAGAUUUAACCCAAAUAAGACUAUCUCAUGACAUUUAAUAAUGAAACUCCUAAAGAUCAAGGAUGAAGAAAGGAUCCUAAAAGCAGCAAGAGAAAAAUAACAUGUAAUGGAGCUCCAAUAUGUCUGGCAACAGACUUUUCAGUGGAAAGGAGCAAGUAUCGUGACAUAUUUAAGCUGCUGAAUGAAAAAAAAACAAAAAAAAACAAAAAAACUUUUACCCUACAAUAGUAUAUCCAGUGAAAAUAUCCCUCAAACUUGAAGAAGAAAUAAAGACCUUCCCAAACAAACAAAAGCCAAGGGAUUUCAUCAGCACCAGACCCGCCCUACAAGUAAUGUUGAAGGGAGUACUUCAGUCUGAACAAAAAGGAUGUUAAUGAUCAAGAAGAAAUGACCUGAAGGCACAAAACUCACUGGUAACAGUAAGCACACAGAAAAACGAAGAGCAUUAGUCUGUUUUCACACUGCUGAUAAAGACACACUAGAGACUGGGCAAUUUACAAAAGAAAGAUGUUUAAUUGGACUUACAGUUCCACGUGGCUGGGGAAGCCUCACAAUUAUGGUGGAAACCAAGGAGGAGCAAGUCCCAUCUUACAUGGAUGGCAACAGGCAAAGAGAGAAUGAGGAAGAUGCAAAAGCAGAAACCCCUGAUAAAAUCAUUGGAUCUCAUUUGACUUAUUCACUACCAUGAGAACAUUAUGGGGGAAACAGCCUUCAUGAUUCAAUUAUAUCCCACUGAGUCUCUCUGACAACACAUGGGAAUUAUGGGAGUACAAUUCAAGAUGAUAUUUGGUUGGGAGCACAGAGCCAAACCAUAUCACAAAGAAUAGUAUAACACUGUAAUUGUUGUGUGAAAACUACUCUUAUCUUAUGUAGAAAGACUAGAUGAUGAACCAAUAAAAAUAAUAACUAAAACAGAAUUUCAAGACAUAAAGAGAAACAACAAAAAAUUAAAAAAUGAAGAGAAAAGUUACAAUGUAGAGUUUUUAUUAUUUGUGUGUGUGUCCGUUUGUGUGUUUGUGUUAGUGUUGUUAACAGGUUAAAAUAAUGGGUUUUAGGAUAGUAUUUACAAGCUUCAUUGUAACCUAAAAUUGAAAAACAUACAACAAAUACACACACACACACACACACACACACACACACACACAUAAAGUUAAAACACACCACCAGAGAAAUUCACGUUUAUGAAAAUGAAGACAGGAAGGAAGAGAAGACUGCAAAGAAACCAGAAAACAAAUAACAAAAUGGCAGGAGUAAGUCCUUACUUAUCAAUAAUAAUAUUAAAUUUAAAUGAGCUAAACUCUUCAAUCAAAAUACACAGACUGGCUGAAUAAAUGAAAAAACAAGACCCAAUCAUCUGUUGCCUACAAGAAACACACUUUGCUUAUAAAUAUCCCUAUACACAGAAAAUGAAGGGAUAAAAAUGAUAUCUAAUGCCACUAGAAACCAAAAAAGAGCAAGAGUAGCUAUACUUAGACAAAAUAGAUUUCAAGAUAAAGACUGUAAUAUGAGACAAAUAAGGUAAUUAUAUAAUAAUAAAGGGUUCAAUUCAGGAAGAGGAUAUGACUGUGAAUAUAUGUGUACCCAACAGCAGAGUACUCAGAUAUAUGAAGCAAAUACUAUUAGAAAUAAAAAGAUAGACUCCAAUACAGUAAUAGCUGGAGAUUUCAACACCCUACUUUCAAUAUUGAACUUAUCUCCAAGACUGAAAAUCAACAGAGAAAUGACAGACUCAGUGUGUUCUAUAAGUCAAAUGAAUCUAAUAGAUAUUUGCAGAACAUUUCAUCCAAUAGCUUCAGAAUACACAUUGUUCUCCUCACAUAUGAAUCAUUCUCAAGGAUAGGCAAUGUGUUAGGUCAAAAACAACAAGUCUUAAAACAGUAAAAAAAAAAAAAAUAAAAUAAUAUCAAGCAUCUCAUCUGACCAUGACAGAAUAAAACAAGAAA